GGGUCGUUGGUGUAACGGUAGCAUCCACGCCUCCAAAGCGUUGGGGUUAGGGUUCGAAUCCCUGGCGGCCCGCCA
rnacentral:tRNA from 1 species